CUUGGUGUUGUUAGGAUGGACUCAUUGUCAAAGCUUGGAGUCGGCAAAAGCUUUGCUAUGGAGUCUACACAAAACUCAGGAUCUGUGCAAUGAUUCAGUAUUGAAAGAUUUUUGUGAUGGGCUGUGGGCUCAUGUGGAAGUACUUGAAUGGUGCAUGCAGCAAAACAGUAUUACUGUCCCAAGGAAGGUUCUGUUGCAACACUUGCACAGUCUGGAUUGCCACACUGCAGUGUAUUCUCUGCAUCAUCUCACCAAUCUUCUGGCACUGAAUGAAGAUGAUGUUAUUGAGCUUCUUCAAAAAGUUCCUUCUAGAGACCAGCAGAUGCAGGGUAAAUGUGUAGGCUUGUGAGAACACAGAAAACUGACAAUCUGUUGAGUAUAUAUGUUCAGUACUUCUGCCAGGAUUUGUUCUCUUGACCUGCUUCUGUAAUUGUGUAAGAUACCAGUUACCAGCUGUUUUGUGGAAGAAAUCUAGGGAGCAUGUGGAAAUAAUUUACUCCCCAAAGGGUUUCUAAAAUAGUCUU